rnacentral:rRNA from 1 species
GACGAACGCUAGCUACAGGCUUAACACAUGCAAGUCGAGGGGAAACGAUAUUGGAAGCUUGCUUCCGACAGGCGUCGACCGGCGCACGGGUGAGUAACGCGUAUCCAACCUGCUCACCACUUGGGGCUAACCUUGCGAAAGUAAGACUAAUACCCAAUGAUAUCUCUCAAAGACAUCUGAGGGAGAUUAAAGAUUUAUCGGUGAUGGAUGGGUAUGAGUCUGAUUAGCUUGUUGGCGGGGUGACGGCCCACCAAGGCGACGAUCAGUAGGGGUUCUGAGAGGAAGGUCCCCCACAUUGGAACUGAGAUACGGUCCAAACUCCUACGGGAGGCAGCAGUGAGGAAUAUUGGUCAAUGGGCGAGAGCCUGAACCAGCCAAGUAGCGUGCAGGAUGACGGCCCUAUGGGUUGUAAACUGCUUUUAUAAGGGAAUAAAGUGAGCCUCGUGAGGCUUUUUGCAUGUACCUUAUGAAUAAGGACCGGCUAAUUCCGUGCCAGCAGCCGCCGUAA